GUAUAACUGCCUGGGGACUAGAGUGUAACAAAGCCUAUCCUUCAGUGUACUCCUCUGUACCUUACGCAGGCUGCUGGAUAGAUCAACAGGUGACUUGUGAACUUGGAGCUGGUGAAGACGGCGUUUCACAUUUUGGAUUUAAAUCCUGUCCUCCAAUCAGUUGUCGAAAUAUAAAUGUUGUAAAACUUAGAGAUAAUUGACAUCAUUCAGUAAAUACACAUGUUUGAAAAAAUGUUCUCGAAAAAUUGCAAAUGUAAAAUAUUAUUAAAUUAGAUUUCUAUUUUUGAAAAGAAUUCUUUUGCAUUAGGAAAUUAAAAAUAAUUUUUUUUAGAUGAACCAAUGUAUACACUUAAAUAAGUGUAUUAUCCAAUUAACGUUUUGUACAGUGGUAGGCGAUUUUAUCAUUAUAAUGAAGACGACUUUUGAUUUUACUUUUAAUUUACAUCAAGCUUUUUAAAAGCACGGCUACACAAAAAAUGGAAACCAAGAGAACCUAGCAAUUAAAAGAGCUUCUCUUUAAUUAUUUGUAAAUUCUAACAAACAAAACUAAAUAAAAAAGUCGUCUUCAUUUUUUAGAUAUUGUUGCCUAUCACCGUAAACAUGGCUGUUCAUGCAUCUUAAAUUUGCUAGCUUAAAAGAAUCCAGUUUUGCUUGUAAGUUGUAACCUAAACUGUGCCUAUAAAAUUCAACCCACUUAAUUUUACAAUUUUUAAACCAAUCUAAGAAUGUUCCCGCAUUUCUAAUACGUUCACCCUUUAAUAUUUGAGGCUAAGAGGUCAGGAGGUUGAACAGUUAUGAUCAGACAAACAAAUAGAAAUUACUAUGAAAAAACUUGGAAAACCAGCAUGGCUGGAAAUAAACCAUAGCUGUAAAAGCCGACCCACUGAACUUAAAAUUUUAAGAACAAGCAAACGAGUCUCCCAAUCAAUUUGAGGCAAAUCGAUCAGGAGGUUCAUGAAUUAUGAUCUGACAUACAAACAAACAAAUAAAUAUUACUACUGUA